AGCGCUGGCGGCAGGCCUAACACAUGCAAGUCGAGCGGCAGCACGGGGACUUGUACCUGGUGGCGAGCGGCGGACGGGUGAGUAAUGCCUAGGAAUCUGCCUGGUAGUGGGGGAUAACGCUCGGAAACGGACGCUAAUACCGCAUACGUCCUACGGGAGAAAGCAGGGGACCUUCGGGCCUUGCGCUAUCAGAUGAGCCUAGGUCGGAUUAGCUAGUUGGUGAGGUAAUGGCUCACCAAGGCGACGAUCCGUAACUGGUCUGAGAGGAUGAUCAGUCACACUGGAACUGAGACACGGUCCAGACUCCUACGGGAGGCAGCAGUGGGGAAUAUUGGACAAUGGGCGAAAGCCUGAUCCAGCCAUGCCGCGUGUGUGAAGAAGGUCUUCGGAUUGUAAAGCACUUUAAGUUGGGAGGAAGGGCAUUUACCUAAUACGUAAGUGUUUUGACGUUACCGACAGAAUAAGCACCGGCUAACUCUGUGCCAGCAGCCGCGGUAAUACAGAGGGUGCAAGCGUUAAUCGGAAUUACUGGGCGUAAAGCGCGCGUAGGUGGUUUGUUAAGUUGGAUGUGAAAUCCCCGGGCUCAACCUGGGAACUGCAUUCAAAACUGACAAGCUAGAGUAUGGUAGAGGGUGGUGGAAUUUCCUGUGUAGCGGUGAAAUGCGUAGAUAUAGGAAGGAACACCAGUGGCGAAGGCGACCACCUGGACUGAUACUGACACUGAGGUGCGAAAGCGUGGGGAGCAAAC
rnacentral:rRNA from 1 species